rnacentral:misc_RNA from 1 species
GGAGCCUGUGUUGCCUUUUUUGUUGUCGCGCGUUCGUUUGAAUUCUCCUUGAAUGCUGCGUGCUGUGUUGCCCUUUGCAUUUUACACCGCGCGGCGUAGUGCUCCAUUCUGUUAGCCCUGUGCGCGCGCGCGUGGAGCAGCUUUUUUUCGUUUCCUCUCGCCACCGCCGACUGUAGCCGUGCCAGUCCGUUCAAGAAGCGGUCGGAGGUACAACAUCCCCCUCUACAGACACACACAUACACAGAUCUCUCUAGUCAUUAGCGACAAAAAAAGAGGUGCACCCCCUUCUCCCCUCUUGCGUCGUCCCUCCUAGGCUUUCAAGUGCCUCCGUUUCUUUACGUGUCGUAGUCUUUUUCCACGUAGCACGUCUCCUGCUUUUAGCUCCCUUUACAAGACGCCGCAGUAUCACCAGCAGCGAGAGGAUGGCGUCGCUAUGCGCGUCGGCAUGCGAUGUGCAUGAAUCUCUGAACGACAGCGGGGAGACAGACAGACAGAUGGUGCUUAUCCAUGUCGAUAACACCUUGCUUGCAAUGCGCACGAGCAACCGGCUCAAUUAUCGCAGCAGUCCGCUAAAGGAGAAGGAAGCUAGCGAGUACGCAGUUGCUCAGGAACUGCUUGACCUGCAGCGGCGUCUCUUCGCCGGGGCUGUUCCCGUGCCCGGCCGCACUUCGUCUUCGUCCUCGGUGCACCCCUCUCCGCAGGGGAAAAGUAAUCCUGCCUGCGCCUGCUCCACCGAGGCACUACCGGAUCUCGUGCCAUUGGCUCUACCGGAUAGCUACUCGAAGCACGGCGAGGUGAGUGAGGUGGCAAUUCUGAGCGCCUUCGCAAACGUGUGUCGGAGCCCUAACACCUCGGCAGUUGUCACCGGCGUCGCCCUCACCGCUUUGGUCGACAUGUUGGACUUGCCCUGCGCAUUCGUGUCAAUGUACGGCGUGUACGCCGCGAUCGAGGCCGCCUCCGAAACGCGUGCUGAGGUGCACGAUAGCGCCUCGCAUGAGGUGCUGCUCUCUCGCAUCUUUAGCGUCUAUGUCGCUGCUCUGAAUCACCCCGCAGCGGUGAUGGCCGACGGCGGCGUGCACGUGCGGGCACUUGGCCGCAUGAUGGUGCUGGCCACGCACCCCGAGGCAAGUCAACUACUGAAGCGCACCGUGGAGAAGAGCAUGCGACUCAUCGUCAUGACGUUGUUCCGCCGGUUGCUGCAUCUGCCAGCCGACGAGGACGCGCGCAGGGCGUUGGUGGCGGCAGGUGUGACGGUGCUGCGGUUCAUAAGCCGCCUUAUCAGCGGCGACAUCGCCUGCUUCGACAACGACGGCCACGAGGUCGCGUCGACGGUGGCGUUUGGCGGCAGCGAGGGAUUGGCAGGCACUUCAGCGAGCGGUGGAAGCGGUGACGACAAGACCUCACCUUUGGAGAACACGAUCACGCUGAUUCAACUGGAGGGACUUGCACUCGCGCAGGAUUGUCUGCUGCUGCUUCGGUGCUCCCUCAGCAAGCCCUUGUUUGCGCCGCUGCUGGACACAGUGCAGAACCAGCUGUGCCGCGCGCUCUUGAUCGCCGGCGUUGGCACUAUGCGCACCAUUGUUCUUGCCCAAACGCUGCGCACGGUCCACCUCGUCAUGCAGGGCUCCUCGGUGCACUUGAUCCCACAGAUAUACAACUUCAUCCGCGUGCUGCACCUCAACCCGCUAGAGGCGCUCGCAAACGAGCUUGCCGACGCCGGCGCUGUCCAGCCGGGUUCGCCGGUGGGCCGUAGCGGUUCUCCAGUCGCGUCCAGGCCUCCGGCCAGUCCUGUCAGCACUGCUUCCUCCGGCCACGGCAACUCUGGCCGACUCUCUGCGCAGCAGCUGCAGAGGAAGCAGGAGCGGCGCGACAUCCUUCUGGAGAGCUUGGCGGAGUUUUGCAGCGACCCGCGCUUUGGCAGCUUCUGCUUUAUCCACUACGACCUUUCGUGGCGGUACGCCUCGCUGCUGCCGCAGCUUUACCAGGUCCUGGCAAACCACGUCUACCCCGUCUUUCACGGCGACCCAGAGGAGGUGGCGACAGCGGCGUGGUCACAGCGGCGGAGCGGCAUGGCAGGAGACCGAAAGGCCGCCGCCCAACGACGCCAGAGGGCUGCUGCUGCUGUGGAUUACCGCAGAGACAGGCGCCAACGGAGCAUGGCGGCGCGGCGUCUGCCGCGCAGCACCCAACGCACGGCGCUGGAUGCGACGACGAACAUGGUGUCCGGCAUCGCGAUCCGGGCCAUCGCGUCAGGUGCAUUGCCGUCGACUGCCGCCGAGUCAGAUACCACCAUCUGCGCCGGAAGCCCCUCGACGUCCCUCGCGGAGUUGCAGCGCCUCAUCCAGCAUGCGCAGAAGGAGAAGGACAAGCUGAACUACUUUGCAUCGCUCUUCGAGGACUCACCGAUAAAGAAAGGCAUCCCGUUCCUGCUCGAGCACGCCAUUCGCGUGCCUGCCGGCGCGGAGGAGGAGACCUCCUUGAAGCACUGUACAAAGCUUGUGCUUGCAGAGCCGGCAGGCGGGCGGGAGCUCGGCGAGGCCCUAUACCGUCUCAGCAUUGUGCUGAACAAGCGUGUGCUUGGGGACUACAUUGGUGAGCAGGGCCGCAACCAGCCAGAGGACGUCGCCGCUGCCGAGGAUGCAACGAGACCGGCUGCUCUCUUCUCUGUUCGGUUCUUCGAGGAGCAGCUCGACGGAUUCAUUCACCAGUUUGAGUUCCACAAUAAGCCGCUGCUAGAUUCGAUUCGCGAAAUGGUGUUCCUCCUCUGUCUGCCCGGUGAGUCGCAGAAGAUUGACCGAGUGAUGGAGUCCUUCGCGAAGCACUGGUACCAGCAGAAUGUGACCUACCGCGAGGACGGCACUUUGGUCAAGGACGAGACGCUCAACCCCUUCCACAGCGACUCGGGCGCCUUUGUCCUCUCUUUUGCCAUCAUUAUGCUCAACACGGAUCAGCACUCUGGCAAGGUGGCGCAGCAGAUGAAGAGGGAGGACUUUGUGAAGAUGAACCGCGGCAUCGACGACGGCAAGGACAUCCCCGCGGCCUACCUCGGCAGCAUCUACGACGACGUUCGUCAGCACGAGGUGGUGAUGGCCGAGAUGAUGGACCGCGGCUUCGCGAACGAUACGACGUGGAGGCUGGAAAUGCAGCCGUGCUUGAACUUUGUGCAUCACGCGCUGAGCGCAGCGGCAGAGGUCGAGAAGGCGGAGGCGGUGAAGGCGCUGACGACCAUAUUGUCUCACGAGCUCGGCGCUGCGACCGCCGCCGCCACGGCGGGUUCGACAGUCGCAACGGCGCGUAUGCGUGACCCCGAGAGUGGCGUCCUGCAGAUCUUCGACCUGCUUCUCUUUCAGUCUCUCUGGAAGCGCAGUCUGCUCGUGUUCGAUGGCAUGUUGGCGUCCGCCGUGGACGAGGUGUCGUUGUCGAUUGUGGCUACCGGUGACACCAUCGCGCGCGCCGUCGAGGAGGCGGAGCAGCAGUUGCCGGCUGAGAUGGCUAUUCUGCAAUCGAGCCUGCGCGGCGUCUGCCUGCUGGCGCGUGCUGCCCACGCACUUUCUUUACCCGUGGUGGCCGACCAGUGCUUUAUGGGGCUGCUAAAGUAUGUCGUGAUGAGCGACUUGACGAACGCCGAGGAAGAGGUGCGCGCCCUGUACCGCAGUGUGCCGAAGCUGUUGUGCAUGCGCGAGAUCUUUGCGCUGCUCGUGGACAUCUACAGCAGCCUCGAGGACAGCUGGCUGCCGCUGUCGCGCUUGAUACUGGACAUGCAGUUGGUGGGGCUGUUUGCCGAGCCUGCGCAAGCGGCGGCGAGGGGCAGGCCGAAACCGCGUGGGGCUGAUGAUGGCGACGCUGAGGCGUCGGACAGCAGGGCAGCGCAGCGGUCGGUGUCGGCGCCGACAGAGCCCCUUCACGUGCUUCUGCAGGACCCCGGCAUCUACGCCAACGUCUUUGCACCACUCUCGGCAGCCUCCGCUGCUGGGGACAUUGCCGCGGAGCAGAAAGCGGCGAGUGAGCGCGGCUGGUUCUCUUCUCUGUUUGGGGGUAGCGGGGCGCUGCAGGUGUCGACGGUCCAGCUGUCUGAGCUGCGAGAUGCACUCGGUCGAAUAGGCAGCUGCAUCCCAAAUAUGCGUCGGCUUUUGUCGAUUCUGCAGCGAGUGUCAGCUGAUCCGAACGCUGCCCAGCGGUGUUUGUGCAGUCUCUCUGCCGUUUCUAGCAUUGAGGAAGAUAUCGCCGGCAGCAGCGGCAACGGCGUCAACUCAGCCCCAGCAGAAGGGGAGGGCAAGAAAGGAAAUGGGCACCCUAGCGGCCUGGACGAGGCCUCCGCCUACGCCGCCUCGUACGAACUCGCUUUCAUCUGCGCAGUUGUGGGUGGCGCCGCAACAACGGCGGUGCUUCAACCCGCGCACUUUGCCUCGCUCACCACCCGCGUUAGCCGGCUGCUGCGGGAGGUGGACGUGUAUCUGCACGACACCCGCGCGAGCGACGGUGUGCGGGCGUACUGGUGCACCCUUGGCAAUCGCGUUGUGUGCGCGUCGCUGCAGCUCAUGGCGGUUCACUGGCGCGGCCAGCACGGCGCCGUCGCUAUGGAGCAGCUAUGGGCAUGCUGGAUGCGUGCCGCUCCUUCGACCUUCGCCUUCGUCGUGGCUCGCCCCGUCGCAGCGUUUCUCUACGACCAAGUCGUUGUUCUGGAUGAGGCUGAGAAGGGCGCUGGCCCAGGCGAGAAGGAAAGGGACGCAAUGCAGCCGUGGGCCUCUGGCAGCGAAGUACUUGUUCUCCUUGCACCCUUCGCGGUACACGCCGCCGCCGUCUCUGAUGUCGUGGUACAGCGCCAGAUUGGCUCCCUCCUUUUGCAUGUGGUGCAGCAACGCCGCUACAGCGUCUCGGACGACACGGAGAGUAUUGUGUCGCUCUGCCUGUCGUUUAGCGUGUGGAUGCGACACAGCCGCGCCGCAGGGUCGAGCACGGCGGUCGGCGACACACCAGAGAGCAAUGAGGCGGCACUCACGAAAGCGAAGUGCGGGGCGGUGGCCACCACAUCCCUUCCAAGCGGUGCCAGCGUGGCGGAGGUGCUGGGCCUUUGUGGGCGCAACGUGCUCCUGGACAACGCCGGCACGGCCGCCGGUGGAGCUGGCGCGGAAAGGGGCGAGUGGUGCAGCCUUUGGGUGUUUGUGCUUCGAAGUCUUGGCGCGCUGGCCCUCUGCAGCUCCGAUGCGCGUGAUGGCAGCGAGGCAAUCUUGUGCCUGCAGCGUGCUUUGCUGGAUUCAGAAGCACACGAUCUUCCCUCCUCUGCGGUUAUGGCUGUGUAUGAGGACAUCCUCAUCCCUCUGACAGAGCGUCUGUGCGCACCGAAGGCGCGAUUGCAGACUGGUCUGCAGUGGGCCGGCGCGAGAAAGGCCGCCUUGCGCGAAAACAGCGGCGCCGCCGCGAGCUUCAGCCGAAGCGUUCUCGGCAGUCUCGUCAACUCACUCGUGUCGCCGGUGUCGCCGGAGCGGAACGGGCAGGGUGAGUCGAUGGCUUCUGUGGUCGGCGCCUCCGCUCUGUCUCGGCGAUCUGCACCGCCGACGCUUGUGUUCACGGAGGUGAAGUGCCGAUUACUGAGCUUGGUGCCCAAGGUCCUGCUGCGGUACACGGCCGCGCUAACGACGCAGCCGGAUUUGCUGCUGUCGUUGUGGAGGCGGGUUCUGGGCACCUUGUACGCGGUGCACAGUGCUUACCCGGUCAUAGAAGAUGCUGCCGGGCAUGGCAUGGGCGGCGGUAGCACCUCCCAUGACGAUGCGAUGCUGGUGCAGGAGGCGGUGGAGGAGACGGUAAAGAAUAUGAUCUACGUGGUCGCCUCCACUUGGCAGUGCUCGUCGUCGUCGACAGUGGGCAGUGUCGCCGGUACCCAGCAGCAGCACGCGGCUGCUUUCUGGGCCGCGAUUGUGCGCUUCUUGCAGCCUUUUUCGUUCUCGGCACCGCUGGUUGAUUUUAUGGUCCAGGCUGGCCUUGUGCGGAUAGAGGCUGGUGCUGAGGCUGCUAUCGCACCGGACGCUGCUGCUCCAGCUGGUUGAGUCUUAUUCUCUCUGCCUAUCUUGUAUGCUCUGUGCUUUACGCGCGGGGAAGAGGUGAGCACGAGCUCGUCGGCCGCUUGUGCUUGAGAGUGAGGUGUACGCACGUAAUGGCGGUGGAAAGAAACGAAAAAGGCGAAGCACAAGAUGCAAAGCAGGCAAGCAACAGCAACAGCAGAAAUGUGCACCAUCGGAAGAACGCGAUUACCACUCGAGAUGCAAACACGCAUAAGACUGAGGUGCUUUCUUCGGUGUUCCCCUUUUUGUGCGCGUCUUACGCUGGUGGUGGUGGUGGUGGUGGGGUGGCUUAGCAUGGGCAAUUGUUGAGUGCGUCCUGCAGACCCCAGGGCGCAGGUGCGUCUGUGUAUUUUCUCUGCGCGCUGGUUUUCUCGUUUCUGUUUCGUCGUUUGACCGCCUUCAUCCCUCCUCGACUCGCUUGCGUGUGUGGCCGCGGCUUCGUUUUGCCAGCUCUGUUCUCGCGGAUGCGCAACUCGCCUCGCUGCGUCAUUUAUGCACCAGUGCGGUGUCGCUCUAUGGGGAGGUGCGUGCGACAGCCCUUGAAUCGCGUGCUCCGUGGUAGCUUGCCUCUACUUUUUAUCCAGCGUGCGCACUCCAGCGCGUUUGCGGGCGCAUUUCUCAUUCGCUUCGUCGUUUUGUUUUCCCCCUGUUUUUCUCUGUGCUUCGCGUGCUUUUAUGUUUUUUUUUUUUUUUUACGCGGCCAAUGCUGUUCAGCAGCGUGUACAUCAC